GAUUAUGUAAGUAAGAUGAGGGUUGAAUAUGCAAAAUUGGACAAAGCAGAAAUGAGCAUCUGGGAAUGCUGUGAAUUAUUGAAUGAUGUGGUUGAUGACAGUGACCCUGAUUUGGAUGAACCUCAAAUUCAACACUUGUUGCAAAGUGCUGAAGCCAUUAGGAAAGACUAUCCUGAUGAAGAUUGGCUCCAUUUGACUGCCCUUAUUCAUGACUUGGGUAAAGUGCUUCUUCUUCCUAGCUUUGGAGAGCUUCCUCAAUGGGCUGUUGUUGGUGACACAUUCCCUGUUGGCUGUGCUUUCCAUGACUCUAUUGUUCACUCCAAGUACUUUAAGGAAAAUCCUGACUACAAUAAUACUG
rnacentral:misc_RNA from 1 species